CACUUUCUUUACAGGGAGUAAACAGGAAGUACAGGAAUUAUUGCUGAAAGAGACGGCAUAUUGAAAGCAGCAUGGAGGCUUUGAAGUUUUCUAGUAACACCAUGCAAGUAAGUUUUGUGUGCCAGCGCUGCAAUCAGCCUCUGAAGCUCGACACAUCCUUCAACGUUUUGGACAGAAUGACUAUACACGAGCUCACUGCUCCAUUAGUGAUGGUAACAGCCA